rnacentral:rRNA from 1 species
AUCUCCCAAGGCUAAAUACUCUCUAGUGACCGAUAGUGAACCAGUACCGUGAGGGAAAGGUGAAAAGCACCCCGGAAGGGGAGUGAAAGAGAUCCUGAAACCAUGUGCCUACAAGUAGUUAGAGCCCGUUAAUGGGUGAUAGCGUGCCUUUUGUAGAAUGAACCGGCGAGUUACGAUCCCAUGCAAGGUUAAGCUGAUAAGGCGGAGCCGUAGCGAAAGCGAGUCUGAAUAGGGCGAAUGAGUAUGUGGUUGUAGACCCGAAACCAGGUGAUCUACCCAUGUCCAGGGUGAAGGUAAGGUAACACUUACUGGAGGCCCGAACCCACGUACGUUGAAAAGUGCGGGGAUGAGGUGUGGGUAGCGGAGAAAUUCCAAUCGAACCUGGAAAUAGCUGGUUCUCUCCGAAAUAGCUUUAGGGCUAGCCUCGCGGCUAAGAAUCUUGGAGGUAGAGCACUGUUUGGACUAGGGGUCCAUCCCGGAUUACCGAAUUCAGACAAACUCCGAAUGCCAAUGAUUUAUACGCGGGAGUCAGACUGCGAGUGAUAAGAUCCGUAGUCAAAAGGGAAACAGCCCAGACCACCAGCUAAGGUCCCAAAGUAAUCGUUAAGUGGAAAAGGAUGUGACGUUGCUUAGACAACCAGGAUGUUGGCUCAGAAGCAGCCAUCAUUUAAAGAGUGCGUAAUAGCUCACUGGUCGAGUGACGCUGCGCCGAAAAUGUAUCGGGGCUAAACGAUUCACCGAAGCUGUGGAUGGACAUCUCAGAUGUCCGUGGUAGGAGAGCGUUCUAAUCGCUGUGAAGUCAGAUCGUAAGGACUGGUGGAGCGUUUAGAAGUGAGAAUGCCGGUAUGAGUAGCGAAAGAUGGGUGAGAAUCCCAUCCACCGAAUGACUAAGGUUUCCUGAGGAAGGCUCGUCCGCUCAGGGUUAGUCGGGACCUAAGCCGAGGCCGAUAGGCGUAGGCGAUGGAUAACAGGUUGAUAUUCCUGUACCACCUCCUCACCAUUUGAGUAAUGGGGGGACGCAGUAGGAUAGGGUAAGCGCGCUGUUGGUUAUGCGCGUCCAAGCA